rnacentral:rRNA from 1 species
UGGGGAAUAUUGCACAAUGGGCGCAAGCCUGAUGCAGCCAUGCCGCGUGUAUGAAGAAGGCCUUGGGUUGUAAAGUACUUUCAGCGGGGAGGAAGGCGAUGCGGUUAAUAACCGCGUCGAUUGACGUUACCCGCAGAAGAAGCACCGGCUAACUCCGCGCCAG